rnacentral:rRNA from 1 species
CAGUAGCCACGGGAAUACGAAGGGGGCUAGCGUUGCUCGGAAUGACUGGGCGUAAAGGGCGCGUAGGCGGAUUGCGCAGUCAGAUGUGAAAUUCCUGGGCUUAACCUGGGGGCUGCAUUUGAGACGCGUAGUCUAGAGUGUGAAAGAGGGUCGUGGAAUUCCCAGUGUAGAGGUGAAAUUCGUAGAUAUUGGGAAGAACACCGGUGGCGAAGGCGGCGACCUGGUUCAUAACUGACGCUGAGGCGCGAAAGCGUGGGGAGCAAACAGGAUUAGAUACCCGCGUAGUCCCUGUCUCUUAUAC